rnacentral:rRNA from 1 species
UACGUAGGGUCCGAGCGUUGUCCGGAUUUACUGGGCGUAAAGAGCGCGCAGGCGGCGGUAUAAGCAUGGCGUGAAAGCCCCAGGCUUAACCUGGGAGGGUCGUCGUGGACUGUACCGCUUGAGGGCGAUAGGGGCUGGUGGAAUGCCUGGUGUAGUGGUGAAAUUCGUAGAUAUCGAGAGGAACACCGGUGGCGAAGGCGGCCUUCUGGACAGGGACUGACGCUGAGACGCGAAAGCGUGGGGAGCAAACAGG